AGAAACCUUAGGUGAUGAAGGACAGGUCAUUGGAACUCAAAGGGUGGCACAAGCAAGUUGUUUGCAAGAAGCCCAAGAAACUUGGAAGCUGUAAAAAGAAAAUGGCAAUGAUGCAUAAUCUUUAUGGUCAAAUUGAUUUGGCAACAUCUGCGAAAUAUCGAGCAGAGGAGGUUCUAUCAAGAUUGAGCACAAAAUAUCCAAGCUUUAUGAAGCCUAUGAUCAGAUCAAAUG
rnacentral:misc_RNA from 1 species